UAUUACUCAUCUGGAGACAGCCACAGAAUUCAGCCAAAGCUGCUUUCAUGGUCCCUUUUGUGACUUGGGUUCUCAUUUUAAGCACCAUGGUCAAUGUCUAUCUUAUGGUUCAGCUUGGAUCAGAAACCUGGAUUYGUUAUGCAGUCUGGAUGACAAUAGGUUUAACUAUCUACUUUUGUUAUGGGUUUCGGCACAGAGUACAGAAAGAAAGGAUGGAGAACUCACAGGCAUGAGUCAGUUUUUAACCACAAUGAUGAACCUAAAUUCCUCACCAUGGUGUUUUUCACCCAAAAAAAGGUUUGUUACGAGUGGUUUUUGAUUGUGAAGCCACUUAUCAAGGAACAUCAUUAAAUAAAGAACUACUACAAGGACCGUUCCUUACUUGGAGUACUCCUUCGCUUCAGGCAGGAGCCUGUAGCAUUUACGGGUGACAUUCAGGCCAUGUUCCAUCAGGUGAAGGUUGCAGAACAAGACAGAGACUUUCUGCGCUUUCUCUGGUGGCCAGAAGGAGACAUCAGCAGAGAACAAAGUCUACAGAAUGACUGUGCACUUGUCCGGAGCUGUUUCAUCUCCAAGCUGCGCUAGCUAUGGGCUAAAGAAAACUGCAGAUGACAACAAAGAUGAUUUUUCUGAUCAAGCUGUUCUUGCUGUCAAGCAAAAUUUUUAUGUUGAUGACUGCCUGAUGAGUUUGGGUUCAGAGGGAAGAGGCCAUAAAAAUGGUGAAUGAACUAAAUGCUCUCUGUAAAAGAAGUGGGUUUCAGUUGGAGAAAUGGAUCAGUAACAGUCGAGCAGUGUUGCAGUCAAUCCCAGAAGAGCACUGGGCAAAGGAUUUAAAAGAGCUCAAUUUGGAUCGAGAUGACCUCCCAGCGGAAAGAGCUUCAGGUCUACUGUGGUGUGUUGAGUCAGACUACUUCAGAUUUAAGAUGGAGAUAAAACAUCAGUCUCCAACCAGACGUGGCAUGCUGUCCAUCACCAAUUCAGUAUAAGAUCCUUUGGGUUUUCUGUCACCAGCCAUCCUACCUGCUAAGAUAAUGCAGCAAGAGCUCUGUAGGAGGAGCUGUGGAUGGGAUGAUGUCAUCCCACUGGAUAUUUUGAAACAGUGGGAACAGUGGUUGGAGGAGGUCAAGUUACUUGCUUCAUUCAAAGUAGCAAGAUGUAUGAAACCAAAGGAUUUUGGGAACCUCAUACACUGCCAAUUACAUCAUUUUGCUGAUGCCAGUAAAGAUGGCUAUGAGACUGUAACAUACAGUCCCAAGACAACAAAGAUCAUAUUAACGUAACUUUCUUACUAGGAAAGGCCAGAUGGUGCCUUUAAAAACUGUGACGAUCCCAAGACUGGAACUUACAGCCGCAGUUUUGGCUGCCAGAAUGGACGUGAUGCUAAAGGCAGAGCUUCAAAUGCAGCUGGAUGAAUCUGUGUUUUGGACGGACAGUACAUCAGUUCUGAAAUACAUUAACAAUAAGGAUAAACGUUUCCAAACCUUUGUGGCAAAUCGGAUCUCAACAAUGAGAGAUUUCCGAGAUUUCCAAGCCCUUCCCAAUGGAGGCAUGUUGCUUCCAACAACAACCCAGCCGAUGCUGCAUCAAAGGGAAUGAAAGUGACCCAUUUUCUGACCAACCACAGUUGGAUUGAGGGCCCUAGCUUUCUUUGGAAGCCUGAGGAAUUCUGGCCAGAGAAUCCUGUGAUAAUAAGAUGGACUCCAAUGAUCCAGAGCUCAAAAGGGAUGCUCUUGUGAACGGUGCUGCCUUACCACCUGGGCUGUUUGAACCCUCAGAUAUGUAUGUGGAGCGUCGUUAGAGACAAGUUCAAUACAUCUCAGAUUUAUUUUGGAAAUGCUGGAUCAAGGAGUAUUUGCCCCUAUUGCAAGAAAGACAGAUUUGAAAUCUGGAGAUGUUGUUGUCAUCAUGGAUUCAUCUGCCCCACGUGGCUCCUGGCCUCUUACUAAAGUAAUAUCAGUUUUCUCUGAUAAAAAAGGCAUGGUGGGAUUUGUAAAACUGCAGACAAAGAACAAUAUUAUUGAAAAACCUGUUACCAAACUUUGUUUGAUACAAGGGGUGUAAAUCAACAGAUAUGUAUUCAUUUUGCUCCUAUUGUUAUUGUAUAUAAUUGUUACGUCUGCCUGCCAUAACAAUUAGGGGCCGGUGUGUAGGAGCAGAUUAUGAAUUUCUGUAUUCCAAAUGGUUUGUGUCACAUGAUCUGUCUGCUGUCAUUUUAGGUAGGAUCCGGUGUUGAUGAUGACAGGUGUGUUCCACCCGAAAGGGGGAAACAGUUUUCGACCGCAACGCAAUACUAACGUAACGCAUCGCUACCGCUAUCAAAGUAAAUGCUAUGUGGAUCGCUGAAACUAUGUAUGCGGUGUUAUUGUCAACAUGUAAGAGGAAUGACUUGUUGUACAAAGGAAAUAAGAUGAUGAUUGCCGAGUCAUGGAAAUAAAUGGAUUACCUGCACUAACAUCAA